rnacentral:rRNA from 1 species
CCUACGGGUGGCAGCAGUGAGGAAUAUUGGUCAAUGGGCGCGAGCCUGAACCAGCCAAGUAGCGUGAGGGAUGACUGUCCUACGGGUUGUAAACUUCUUUUAUCAAGGAAUAAAGUGAGGCACGUGUGCCUUUUUGUGUGUACUUUAUGAAUAAGGAUCGGCUAACUCCGUGCCAGCAGCCGCGGUAAUACGGAGGAUCCGAGCGUUAUCCGGAUUUAUUGGGUUUAAAGGGUGCGUAGAUGGGUUGUUAAGUCAGUUGUGAAAGUUUGCGGCUCAACCGUAAAAUUGCAAUUGAUACUGGCAGUCGUGAGUACAUGUGAGGUAGGCGGAAUUCGUGGUGUAGCGGUGAAAUGCAUAGAUAUCACGAAGAACUCCGAUUGCGAAGGCAGCUUACUAGACUGCCACUGACAUUGAUGCACGAAAGUGUGGGUAUCGAACAGGAUUAGAUACCCUUGUAGUC